rnacentral:rRNA from 1 species
UACAGAGGGUGCGAGCGUUGUCCGGAAUCACUGGGCGUAAAGGGCGCGUAGGUGGCGCUGCAAGUCGGUGGUGAAAGCUCGAUGCUUAACAUCGAGUCGGCCAUCGAAACUGCAGGGCUCGAGCACUGUAGGGGCAGAUGGAAUUCCGGGUGUAGCGGUGGAAUGCGUAGAGAUCCGGAAGAACACCGGUGGCGAAGGCGGCUUCCUGGACCGAUACUGACGCUGAGGCGCGAAAGCUAGGGGAGCAAACGGG